rnacentral:rRNA from 1 species
UACGUAGGGUGCGAGCGUUGUCCGGAAUUAUUGGGCGUAAAGGGCUCGUAGGCGGUUUGUCGCGUCGGGAGUGAAAACCUCGGGCUUAACUCGGGGCUUGCGGUCGAUACGGGCAUCACUGGAGUUCGGCAGGGGAGACUGGAAUUCCUGGUGUAGCGGUGAAAUGCGCAGAUAUCAGGAGGAACACCGGUGGCGAAGGCGGGUCUCUGGGCCGAUACUGACGCUGAGGAGCGAAAGCGUGGGGAGCAAACAGG